UACAGAGGGGGCAAGCGUUGUUCGGAAUUACUGGGCGUAAAGGGCGCGUAGGCGGCCUGUUAAGUCGAACGUGAAAUCCCCGGGCUCAACCCGGGAACUGCGUCCGAUACUGGCAGGCUUGAAUCCGGGAGAGGGAUGCGGAAUUCCAGGUGUAGCGGUGAAAUGCGUAGAUAUCUGGAGGAACACCGAUGGCGAAGGCAGGUCUCUGGGCCAUAACUGACGCUGAGAAGCGAAAGCAUGGGGAGCGAACAGG
rnacentral:rRNA from 1 species